rnacentral:sRNA from 1 species
CGCCACAGGAUUCUGGUAGGUUUACUGGUAAGUUUGCUCUCUGGACGUUGUUUAUUCGUUGAAGUUCGUCCCCGCCCAGGCCAAAGGGGCAGAGGUUCCAAGGUUCACCAGCUAACCAAGUUACUAUAUAUAUAUAUAUAUAUAUAUGUAUAUAUUGUGUAUGGGUGUUCAGUACUAGUAUGUUAGUAUUGUUUAUGCACCAGAUAAUAGCACAGUUGGAGAUAGCCAGCGUUUCCUUGGUUCUCGAUAUCCUCCCACGCACAUUGACAGGCCAUGUACGGAAUCUAUCAACUCCCGCGACUUCAACAGGAGAAUACAGGCACACGGAGAUAUAGAGUUCCUACCGUUUUCUUCCAGCCCUGGAACCUGGAACCAACUUGACAAAUCUUCAGGGCGUUUCAAAACGGUUCGCCCCACCUCAAAGCAGCCGCAAGUUCCUAUAUAUUCGACCGCGUGGAAUGGUUUAGCAUACACGACAAGAUGUCGCAUUCCGAUAUGUCUGACAUGUGGCCUCAAAUCCUUCCUGCAUUCCCUUUCGGAUAGCCUGUUCUCGUCUCGGCGGAUAAUCCUGCACAUCCAGCUCCUUCCCCGAGAUGAGCAAACGAAACCUUCUGGAUAGACGUCCAACGAAACAACGAACCAAUCAAUCUGCCAAUGAAACCAUUGAACGAAAUCCGACGGCCCCGCCAUCGUAUAUCUAAAGCAUAUAGAUAUAUGAAGCAAGAUGCUGACGCGCGUUCAAUCAAACCAGUGAGCGAACUGGACCAAACUUCAUCCAACCGGACAGCGCAAAGCGGGAUAGUUACGUGGGCACUCGCGGCUUCCACAGCUUUGGACAAUCAGAUGACCCCGUAUGAGAACUCGUUGUGUAUUUUGACCUGGAUCAGAUUGUCGCCCUUGUGGAAUUUCCUGUAACCCCAACAGCGAGUCAGUCCAGCUGAUGGUGAUGGUGGUUCGCUAUUGUGUCUUAGUUUUUAUUUUUCUUUAUCAUCAUCGUUGGUUUUCCAUAUGGGAGGGAGCAGGAUUUAACUGUUCGACUAAACUAUCUGCCAAUUUAGGUGCAUACACUUUAAUUUUCAAUAUCCAAUAACCUGCAGCUCAACCAGGCGCCUCGUCGCAACGGGAAAUGCUGAUGUGGCAAACGACUGUGGAUUGCACAGCCUCAUGGGCGCAACUCACAGGAUUGAAUCAUGGACGAUGACGACAUGCGAGAUGUGAGAUGCGGGAUUUCCAAGGGAGAACACAUCGCUAGAUCAAAAAUCCCGGAUUAUCAUCACAUCCAAUUUCAUCAAUAUCCAAAUUGAGGGGAUGACAACAUAUAGCUGAGAAAAGAACAUGCGGUGCUAUUAUAAAUGCGAACUCAAAUAGCCAGUAUCCGCAUCACAGCGUAAGAAGGAUUUUGCCCCUCGAAUGCCCCUUAUCCAGGUGCUCAAACGCCUGUUUAUACUCCUCCAGCUUCCAAACACUGUCCACAACAGCCUUCACCUUUCCCUCAUCAAACAGCCUCCCAACAUGCAACAAAUCAUCCCCCCUUGGCUCCAUAAUGAAAAACUCAUUUCGGACAUCCUCCACCAUGCACCCUUCCGGCUUCCGCCCUUCCGGUGGCUCACAAAUAGACAAAAGCACCCCGCCGUCCUUCACAGCACUCCAGCAUUGCCCUAGCGACUCGCCGCCUUUACAAUCAACCACCAAAUCCACCUUCCCGCCGGGCCCUAACCUCCCCGCCCACUCCCCCACACUCGAUUUCGUAUAGUCAAUAACCUCCGUCGCCCCCAACUCCCUCACAAAAUCCACAUUCCCGGACCCACAAACAGCCACAAUCUCACCCACCCCGGCCUCCCUCGCCAACUGCAACAGCCAAACCCCAACUCCGCCCGACGCAGCCGUCACCAGCACCUUCUUCCCCCGAUUCCGCUCCCUCCCCGUCUCCCCUUCCCCAGCCCCGCUAACCCCCCGCGUAUAAACAGCGCCUGCACCGCCGUCUCCGCACUCAACGGCACGCUCGCCGCCGAUAUCGCAUCGACGUUCGCCGGCCGCCGCGCGAGCUCCUCCGUCGGCGCAAUGGUGUACUCGCGCGCGUUGCCGGGUCGCUUGACGUUCGUGCGGCCCCAGACGGGCGUGCCGGGCGGGAACGGCGAGUUGGCCGGCGCUUGGACGACGGUGCCGGACAGGUCGUAGCAGGGGACGAUCUCGGCGGAAAACAGGUGCGGGUUCCAGGCGGGCCAGGUCAGUUCGCCGGCGCAGGGGGAGGUGGCGUGCACGCGGAUCAGGUGUUCGGUUGAGGAGGAGCGGUCGAGGGCGGGUGGGGCUGUGGUUCUUAGGGUUAUUUCAGGCUUGAGGGGAUCGGGUUGGUGGAGGGAGCGGAUUGAGGGGGGCAGAGGCGUGUUGGGGUCCAUUUUUCCUUUGUGGGGAAGGGGGGGGGAGGGAAUCUGGUUUUGUUCUUGAUGGGUUUAAAGGGAGCCUUGUAGCCUUGUAGGUUGGAGACAAUGCAGGUAAGGAAGGGGUGAUUGAUUUGUUGUACAGAAGCCAAGGAUGUAAAAAGAGAGAAUUUCCCCUCAAUUGUGGUUGCGGUUGGUUUGAGGUAAAGCCGCUUUUGCCAGUUUCUAUGUACUAACACGGAGGCUCAGCUCGGCUAUAUAACAACAAUAAUGAAUAAGAAUAAGAAUACUAAAGAGAGGUUGUCAUGAGAAUCGUCAAUCUUCUACUCCGUACUAACAACAAUAAAGUCCUGUACUGCGUUACAUGCCUGGCGCGCAAUCGCGUUUAAAUACCCCGCCCGCAUAACCACCUUCAUCCGACACUGCCGCCCGUCGGAGGUCCGUAACCUCCGUCAAACGCGGUCCACUCGAAUCUCCGUGCAUCAUUAAAAUUCUGAAUACGAGAUUUUUGCUUCGGUUUGCUUAUUACUAAUUCGUAUGAUAAUUAUUCUUCGCCACCCACCGCAUUCCAUCGAGCAGCAGGCAUUGUCAAGUCUAAGCUCUGUGAACACGAGAUCUCCGGCUAGAUCUGUCACGACUCUCUGGAUCUUCCCUUCUUCUGGAUGGAGAAAGCGUUCUCUUCCCGGCGGAACGACCCAUUCUUGUGACGUUAGCAGAGGCAAUCUCAUCAGCUGAUGUCUCGGAAUCGCGUGUUGCAUGGGCAGAAUGAGAGACCAAACUCUGACUUGACGUUUCGAAGGACAUGUCCACGCGAAUAUCAGCGACAGUGCCAUUGGCGUUUGCAAUACCAUAAUCUCGCUGUUCCUUUGCCCAGUCUCGAGCAUUUCUGAAAGCACUGGCUCCUUGCCGGAAGGUCUCUGCAGUAUCAGUCAAGGAAAAGGACCUGAGCUGAGUCAUGUGAUAAUCUGUAUCUCUCCCUGGGUCGUUGGAUGCCGUUGGAUGAGUCGUGAACAGUUUGAGAGUCCCGUCCUGGUAAGUCGAGGUAACGACAUAGGCAUUACCAUCAUAUGCAAGCUCCUUCCCAUAUGCUUGGAGUCGAAGCAUCGCACGAGCGCCAAGGGUGCCGUCAUAGAGCGCUUGUCUUUUGGCAACGGCAGUAGAGCCAUCGGGACCUUUGGCCUCAGCAAAAAAGUUGGGCAAUAUUGGAGCAUUAUGCUGUGUAGACGGUACAAUAUAACUGUUCAGCUCGCUACGGACUCGACGGUCAAGUUGUGCUGCAUGAGCGCCAUCAUAGAAGUCUGGCAUCGCAUUCACAAUCCCAUCAGCAAAUCGCUCCAGAUUGCCGAAUAACUUAUCCUCCUCAUAAGGGAUAUCAGCAUCCCCGCGGAUAAUAGGAAACACAGAGCUCAUCACUUUCUUCUCUCCUAAGGCAUGUGCGUUAGUGCGCUUAAAAUUUCGAAAGUCGGUCUCGGAAAAGCGCGAAGGCGACAGUGAUGGCCUUGGUCGCGCAAGUCUCUGGAUAAUUUCAUCCAAAUUGCUUGGUAGCGGGAAACGAUCAUCAGGGUAAUCGUAUUCCUCCGGAUAUGCCCCGUGAUCUAUGAGGACCUGUUCGAAAUUGGCAUCAUAAGCAGAAGACUUCCUUUCUGUAGUAGUAGAAGUUCUCUGCGUUGAUUGGCGUAUUGCAUUAAAACGCGACCGAUUGGGCAAAUUCGAUCUCGAUCUACGGCUGGAUGAACGGGAUCGGCUGGAGGUCAUAUUUGGAGCCACUUGAUACAAAUAUGGUUCAGGAUACUGAGAAAGGGGUGAGCUAGGGUUCAAUAUUCAGUUGGUAUAGACUUACGCCUCUUAGAUUGCGGAGAUCGGGGCCUCCGUGUCUUGCAAAGCGCUUUAAUCGACACCAGUCUUCGUUGAUGUCCAGGCUCCCCUCUAGUUGAUAGUGCUCGCGGGGAGCAGCAGGUGGUGUAUGUCCUGCUGUUCUCCGGUCCAAUUCCUUCAAGGCACGUCGAGUAAGCCACACCUUUGAAAGACGAUCCCAAGAACAACCAGGGGGAUUUGAUGAUAGGACUCUAGGCUGUUUGGCACGAUGCUGCCCCACAGGUGUUGGGGGAUCAGAUAAACAAUUUUCCGCGCACCUCUGUCUUUUUUGACUGCGAGUUACUGAGUUUUGGACCGCAUGCAUCGAGCCAAAAGGCUUGGGGUCCGAAAAUAUCGGUAGAGCUGGGGAAGAAGGCAUGAUAGAAGGGAGAGAGGGGCAGCCUUGUUAUGAAGGUCGUCCUGCAGGUCUGCGGUGACCGAGUCAUACUUGCCAUCCAAUUACAGACAUGGCAGGGGAGGGAGAUGGUGAUGGGUGCAGUUGAUACCAGGCGCUUCAGGGUUCUGCUGUAACGGUAGUUUCAGUAAAUGUCAAUAAACCUUCCAAAAAGCCAGCAAAGUUAUAUAAAGGGUGGAAAAAUAGUUAACUGAAGA